CGGAAAAUCAGCGAGAAUCUCUGAACGGGCUGAGCACAGAUGUGAAUUCGUCGAUGCCUCAUUGGACUCCAACGUUACGUCGCCGCCAUUUUGAAUGUGGCAGUAGAGCGAUGGGAGCUCCAUACUUCAUGUUCUUGUUGUUUCAAUCGCUUUCCAGUAAAAACUGGAUAAACUUGACCCAUUAGCAUUUCAUUUCACAGCCACCAGGACGUCACUGGACUGCUCCCAGUUUGACCAGCAGACUGAACCCGGUGUUGGCAGUACAGAUAAAUCUGUAUUUAAUGUACAACUUUUCUCUUUUACUUUUUGUGUGUUUUUAUGUUCAUGAAUACACUCCAGUGUGUGUCUUCAUUAAUGUCGAUAUAAAAAGGAUUGAUGAGAAUCAGUUGUACCAAAUAUAACACUGUGCUCUUUAAACAAUUAAUCACAUCAAAAAGUUAGAAAUAUUGUCUUUAGUGCUUUUCUUUAAUUCCCAAAUAUAUUAGGGUGUGACAGAAUGUGUUAAUGACGAGCAUUAACUUAAAAUACUUUGUACAACCAUGCUUUAUAAAGUUAAGUCCAUUUACACUGAACAAAAAUAUAAAGCCCCGUGUCAAAUAUAAGAGUUUUAUGAACAUGUGGGUUACGCAAUAUAUAGAGAAACUCAAAAUACACUUUCAGUAAUUACUGAUCUUCAUAUCAGCAUCGAUGACAUCGUGGUUCGGCCGUUUGUAGCGGAUCGACAGUCCUGAUCAGGGUCAGGCUGAGGAAUCCGAUUCUGACCCAGUUGGCUUCCCGUAGGCGGUUACAGACAGUCUGAGGUUUGAUGCGUCUGUUGUUCAGACCAAUAGUCUCAUCAGCUGAGUGUCGCUGGUCUGAGCCGAUCCUCAGACGGACGAGCCGACGUGGCCGUCUGGUGCUGAGCGGUCAGACGAGGAUGAGGAGGAUCUGCAGUCUGUUGGAAACCAACUCUUAAAGGGCCAACGGUCCGAUAACGGACCAUUAUCGGACCGUCGGUACGGCGUCCUGCAUCCAACAUGCCAACGGCUCCCACAUAACAUCUGAGGCUUUAUGACUUCUGACAUAAUGUGACAUUUUGGGGCCUUUUAUUGUCCAGGCCAAGGAUUGUCCAGCUGUUGCUCAUUUUGUCUGACCACCCAGUGGACAUGUCCCACAAUGCACCGAGUAAAACAACAACUCACUGAGUAACGCUCACUGACAGGAAGUUGGAUUAAAUAUUAUACACAGUUCAAGAGAAAUAUUACUUUGGUACAAUAAAAUGUCAGCAAUGCUCAUUUACAGUUAACUCCACAUGGCAACAACAUCUGACAUGAGGCCUUUAGAUUUUUGUUCGGUACAAUUAUAUUAGCUUAAUGGCACAUACUGUGGAUCAUAUUCAAUAUGGUGGACGCUGUGACAUAUAGCAGCAAUGAGCGGACUGGCUCAUUCAUGUCUAUGGGGCUGAGAACCAGGCUGCAGGAUUCUCCCAUUUCUCCCACAGCUCCCAGUCCAGUCCUAAAUCAGAGAUUGACCUGCUGAUAGUGACUGAGAGGAAACAGACCCCAUUGCUAGGCAGUAGACCCCGUUACUAGGCUGACACAGUGAUUGGUUGCAAGGCGGAACCAAACUGUCCCAGCAAUCAGCUGAUCAUUGAAUCUGGAUUCAGAAAGUGAGUCUUGAUGAUGAAACUAAAA